rnacentral:rRNA from 1 species
GGACCCGCACAAGCAGUGGAGCAUGUGGUUUAAUUCGAAGAUACGCGCAGAACCUUACCAACACUUGACAUGUUCGUCGCGAAACUAAGAGAUUAGUUUUUUCAGUUAGGCUGGACGAAACACAGGUGCUGCAUGGCUGUCGUCAGCUCGUGUCGUGAGAUGUUGGGUUAAGUCCCGCAACGAGCGCAACCCACGUCUUUAGUUGCCAGCAUUUAGUUGGGCACUCUAGAGAGACCGCCGGUGAUAAACCGGAGGAAGGUGUGGAUGACGUCAAGUCAUCAUGCCCCUUACAUCCUGGGCUACACACGUACUACAAUGCUACGGACAAAGGGCAGCAAACUCGCGAGAGCUAGCAAAUCCCAUAAACCGUGGCUCAGUUCAGAUCGUAGGCUGCAACUCGCCUACGUG